AUUGAACGCUGGCGGCAGGCCUAACACAUGCAAGUCGAACGAGUGGCGGACGGGUGAGUAAUGUCUGGGCAACUGCCCGAUGGAGGGGGAUAACUACUGGAAACGGUAGCUAAUACCGCAUACCAUCGGAUGUGCCCAGAUGGGAUUAGCUUGUAGGUGAGGUAACGGCUCACCUAGGCGACGAUCCCUAGCUGGUCUGAGAGGAUGACCAGCAACACUAGAAAUGUGACACGGUCGAGACACCUAGGGUAGGCAGGAGUGGGGAAUAUUGCACAAGGGGUGGAAGCCUGAUGAAGGCAUGCCGCGUGUAUGAAGAAGGCCUUCGGGUUGUAAAGUACUUUAAGCGGGGAGACGGUACCCUCAGAAGAAGCACCGGCUAACUCCGUGCCAGCAGCCGCGGUAAUUC
rnacentral:rRNA from 1 species